rnacentral:RNase_P_RNA from 1 species
ACUACAACCCGAGCUAUCGCUCCGUUUACGGGGAGGAAAGUCCGGACAGCGCAGGGCGGCCCACCGGUUAAGCGCCGGCUCCCGGCAGCAAUGCAGGGAAGAGAAAGUGCCACAGAAAAUAACUACCCUCCACAGUAAUGUGAAGGGAAAAGGUGAAAAUGUGAGGUAAAAGCUCACGGUCUUCCGCAGUAAUGCGGAACACGGGUAAACCUUGGGUGCUGUAAUGCCACGUAUAGGAUCGUUCGAGAGCGGCCCGCUCAAGCGCCUGGCUUCGGCCGGGACACGGUUCAGGGUAGGCAGCAAGAUCGCGCCAGUAAUGGCGCGGCCAGAUAAAUGAUAGUUUAGAAACAGAAUCCGGCUUACGAGGCUGUAGUUUAA